UACGUAGGGUGCAAGCGUUAAUCGGAAUUACUGGGCGUAAAGCGUGCGCAGGCGGUUUUGUAAGUUUGUCGUGAAAGCCCCGGGCUCAACCUGGGAAUUGCGAUGAAGACUGCAAGGCUUGAAUCUGGCAGAGGGGGGUAGAAUUCCACGUGUAGCAGUGAAAUGCGUAGAGAUGUGGAGGAGCACCGAUGGCGAAGGCAGCCCCCUGGGUCAAGAUUGACGCUCAUGCACGAAAGCGUGGGGAGCAAACAGG
rnacentral:rRNA from 1 species